CCUACGGGAGGCAGCAGUAGGGAAUUUUCCGCAAUGGGCGAAAGCCUGACGGAGCAAUACCGCGUGAGGGAUGACGGCCUGUGGGUUGUAAACCUCUUUUCUCAAGGAAGAAGUUCUGACGGUACUUGAGGAAUAAGCAUCGGCUAACUCUGUGCCAGCAGCCGCGGUAAUACAGAGGAUGCAAGCGUUAUCCGGAAUCACUGGGCAUAAAGCGUCUGUAGGUUGUUUAGUAAGUCUGCUGUUAAAGACUGGGGCUUAACCCCAGAAAAGCAGUGGAAACUGCUAGACUCGAGUGUGGUAGAGGUAGAGGGAAUUCCUAGUGUAGCGGUGAAAUGCGUAGAUAUUAGGAAGAACACCAAUGGCGAAGGCACUCUACUGGGCCAUAACUGACACUGAGAGACGACAGCUAGGGGAGCAAACGGGAUUAGAUACCCCGGUAGUCCUAGCCGUAAACGAUGGAUACUAGAUGUUGCACGUAUUAACCCGUGCAGUAUCGUAGCUAAGGCGUUAAGUAUCCCGCCUGGGAAGUACGCUCGCAUGAGUGAAACUCAAAUGAAAUUGACGG
rnacentral:rRNA from 1 species